AGGAGGGGGCUCUCUCCCCAAGGAGCAGGUCUGCCCCUGGUGGGAGGCACAGCAAAGUGCCCAGGGGUCUCAGGGAUCUCACCUCCCCUUCAGUAAUGAAGUGUGAAGUCACGGUCACAGGAGGAAGCAAUGUCAGGGGUUGGGGGAGUUGCAGCAGCAGGCUUUUCCAUCAGUAGGGUAGGAGUAGAUGGUCUUAGAAAACCAGCCACCUUCCCACAAAAGAAAUAACCUUAUGAGACAAGAAUUUAAGUAAUUUAAGAGACAUGCAGCUAAUUAAACGUUACCUCACUUAAAGGAAAAAAGAAAGUGUAACAUUCCUAGCAAUAAAAAUGAUGAGUGAUUUGUUUCCAAAUUGUGCCAAAGACAAACAACCCACAGAGCCAGAAAAGUUUUUUCCCCUACUUCUCCAGGGAAUGAGGACCGCAGGCAGCCAGCUGCCUCCUGCCCAAGGGGCUGAUGCCAGCCAGAGCAAUUAAAAACUAGAUUGCAAUUAGGCUUCAGUGAGACACCUCUCUAAUCAGUCAUCAGCUGUACUGCUGCUGUGGAAGUAGCUUGAUGUUCUUCACUUGGUCUUUCUGUUUAUUUAUGAAGAGUUUGUAUGUGUUUAUUUUUAUUUUGACUGGAAAGUAUUGCCAGCAACAUACAGCUAUUUCGGCUGCUGUCUCUUUCCCAGAGCUGUUCUGUACUCCUGGUGAGACAGCGGCAGGAAGGCUCAGCAGAUGAAGCAGCUCUCUGAAGUGGUCAGCAGGACCAGGGGGAUGCACAUGGCAGUGCCUUUCUUUUCCUGCUUUCUUUUCCUGUCGUGUGUGCCCAUCUGCACUGGGGCAGGGGAGGAGGCUGCUUGCCAUCUCCGACCAGCAGUUCUGCCAAGGAAGCCUGGAAGGUCUUCAAUCCCAGCAACUUGGAGCUGGACCACAUCCUUUUCCUCCUUCCUCUUGUCUCAGGAUGUUUUUGCUCCCUGCUGUGACCGUGACUGUGCCAGAGAGGAAGUGCUGGAGAUCUGUAACACCCCCAACACAGAAUCCAGAUGUAUUCACAGGCCACAGGACAGCUAAGGCUGGAAGGUACCUGCAGAUGCCAAUCCCAUCCAACCCCCUUGCUCAAGCAGUGUCAGCUAGAGCAGGCUGCCCAGGACUAUGUCCACUUGGGUUUCAAGUAUCUCCAUAGAUGGAGGCAGCACAGCCUAUCUUGGCAACCUGUUCCAGCAUUAGAUCACCUCCACAGUAAAAAAUUAUUUUUCUUA